rfam:Hordeum vulgare subsp. vulgare, WGS project CAJW01000000 data, contig: morex_contig_334447
UUACUACUCCCUCCGAUUCAUAUUACUUGUCUUAGAUUUGUCUAAGACAAGUAAUAUAGAUCGGACAGAGAUACAUCCGUAUCUAGACAAAUCUAAGACAAGUAAUAUGGAUCGGAGGGAGUAGUUC